AGAGUUUGAUCCUGGCUCAGGAUGAACGCUAGCGACAGGCUUAACACAUGCAAGUCGAGGGGCAGCACAGGUAGCAAUACCGGGUGGCGACCGGCGCACGGGUGAGUAACGCGUAUGCAACUUGCCUAUCAGAGGGGGAUAACCCGGCGAAAGUCGGACUAAUACCGCAUGAAGCAGGGAUCCCGCAUGGGAAUAUUUGCUAAAGAUUCAUCGCUGAUAGAUAGGCAUGCGUUCCAUUAGGCAGUUGGCGGGGUAACGGCCCACCAAACCGACGAUGGAUAGGGGUUCUGAGAGGAAGGUCCCCCACAUUGGUACUGAGACACGGACCAAACUCCUACGGGAGGCAGCAGUGAGGAAUAUUGGUCAAUGGCCGAGAGGCUGAACCAGCCAAGUCGCGUGAAGGAAGAAGGAUCUAUGGUUUGUAAACUUCUUUUAUAGGGGAAUAAAGUGGAGGACGUGUCCUUUUUUGUAUGUACCCUAUGAAUAAGCAUCGGCUAACUCCGUGCCAGCAGCCGCGGUAAUACGGAGGAUGCGAGCGUUAUCCGGAUUUAUUGGGUUUAAAGGGUGCGUAGGUGGUGAUUUAAGUCAGCGGUGAAAGUUUGUGGCUCAACCAUAAAAUUGCCGUUGAAACUGGGUUACUUGAGUGUGUUUGAGGUAGGCGGAAUGCGUGGUGUAGCGGUGAAAUGCAUAGAUAUCACGCAGAACUCCGAUUGCGAAGGCAGCUUACUAAACCAUAACUGACACUGAAGCACGAAAGCGUGGGGAUCAAACAGGAUUAGAUACCCUGGUAGUCCACGCAGUAAACGAUGAUUACUAGGAGUUUGCGAUACAAUGUAAGCUCUACAGCGAAAGCGUUAAGUAAUCCACCUGGGGAGUACGCCGGCAACGGUGAAACUCAAAGGAAUUGACGGGGGCCC
rnacentral:rRNA from 1 species